GUUUAUCAGAGGAGGUGUUUGACUCUGUUUGCAAACCUGCACCAUCCAUCUGUAUUUUCUGAUGUUGUACAGAACUAACCUUAGUUGAUUUCUCUUCGGCUUCAGGCAUUCUAGCAGUCUCAGGCAAAGGCUGCUCCAAAUUAUCCUUCACUAAUGAAGAUUGAGAGCUGGAGGUCUGAGAUUGUAAGUUACUGGCAUCAUAAGUAAUUAAAUCUUCACUUUCAGAUGGGGAAACUGAUUUGAUGGUGCUGGAG
rnacentral:misc_RNA from 1 species